AACGAACGCUGGCGGCAUGCCUAACACAUGCAAGUCGAACGAGACCUUCGGGUCUAGUGGCGCCCGGGUGCGUCACGCGUGGGAACCUUCCCUUAGGUUCGGAAUAACUCCCCGACAGGGGUGCUAAUACCGGAUAAUGUCUUCGGACCAAAGAUUUAUCGCCUUUGGUUGGUCACGCGUUGGAUUAGCUGGUUGGUAGGGUAAAAGCAUACCAAGGCGACGAUCCAUAGCUGGGUUGAGAGGAUGGUCAGCAACACUGGGAGUGAGACCCGGCCGAGACUCCUACGGGAUGCAGCAGAGGGGAACAUAGGACAAUGGGCGGAAGCCUGAUCCAGCAAUGCCGCGUGAACGAUGAAGGCCUUAGGGUUGUAAAGCUUUUUUACCCGGGAAGAUAAUGACAGUACCGGGAGAAUAAGCCCCGGCUAACUCCGUG
rnacentral:rRNA from 1 species